rnacentral:rRNA from 1 species
GACGAACGCUGGCGGCGUGCUUAACACAUGCAAGUCGAACGGCAACGCCCUGCUUUUUUGGGGUGCUCGAUUGCCGAUCGGGUGAGUAACACGUGUGUAUCCUGCUCUUGACUUUGGUAUAACUUCACGUAACUGGGGCUACUACCGUAUAGCAUCCCCUGUUGCAUGGUGGGCGUUGGAUCUUUUCGGCGGUCGGGGUUGGAUUCGCGGCUUAUCAGCUUGUUGGUGGGGUAGUGGCUUACCAAGGCUUUGACGGAUAGCCGGCUUGUGAGGGUGACCGGCGACAUUGGGACUGAGAGACGGAGCAGACUAGAACGGGAGGCAGCAGGGGGAAAUAUUGCACAGUGAGAGGGAGCCGGAGGAGGAAGCGCCGCGUGUGGAAUGACGGCCUGCGGGGUGUGAAACGCAGUAGCCUGUGACGAAGCGGGAGUGACGGUAAUGGAUGAAGAAGCACCGGCUAACUACGUG